GCCUUGCCAGCCCGCUCAGAAACUUAAAGGAAUUGACGGGGGCCCGCACAAGCGGUGGAGUAUGUGGUUUAAUUCGAUGCAACGCGAAGAACCUUACCUGGUCUUGACAUCCCGGAGACCCUUAGGAAACUAGGGGGUGCUUCCAUCUGGAAGAAUCUGGAGACAGGUGCUGCAUGGCUGUCGUCAGCUCGUGUCGUGAGAUGUUGGGUUAAGUCCCGCAACGAGCGCAACCCUUGCCUUUAGUUGCCAGCAGUUCGGCUGGGCACUCUAAAGGGACUGCCGGUGUUAAACCGGAGGAAGGUGGGGAUGACGUCAAGUCCUCAUGGCCUUUAUGACCAGGGCUACACACGUACUACAAUGGCCGAUACAAAGGGCAGCGACACUGCGAGGUGAAGCCAAUCCCGUAAAAUCGGUCUCAGUCCGGAUUGGAGUCUGCAACUCGACUCCAUGAAGUUGGAAUCGCUAGUAAUCGUGGAUCAGCAUGCCACGGUGAAUACGUUCCCGGGCCUU
rnacentral:rRNA from 1 species